UACAGAGGUCUCAAGCGUUGUUCGGAUUCAUUGGGCGUAAAGGGUGUGUAGGUGGCGCGCUAAGUCGGGUGUGAAAUUUCGGAGCUUAACUCCGAAACUGCAUUCGAUACUGGCGUGCUUGAGGACUGGAGAGGAGACUGGAAUUUACGGUGUAGCAGUGAAAUGCGUAGAUAUCGGGAGGAACACCAGUGGCGAAGGCGACUUUCUGGCCUGUUCUUGACGCUGAGGCGCGAAAGCUAGGGGAGCAAACGGG
rnacentral:rRNA from 1 species